rnacentral:tRNA from 1 species
GGAAACGUGGCAGAGAGGCUGAAUGCAGCGGACUCGAAAUCCGCUGAGGGUGCAAAUCCUCCGUGGGUUCGAAUCUCACCGUUUCCGCCA